rnacentral:rRNA from 1 species
CCUACGGGGUGCAGCAGUGGGGAAUAUUGCACAAUGGGGGAAACCCUGAUGCAGCGACGCCGCGUGAGCGAGGAAGUAUUUCGGUAUGUAAAGCUCUAUCAGCAGGGACGAAAAAAGACGGUACCGGACUAAGAAGCCCCGGCUAACUACGUGCCAGCAGCCGCGGUAAUAAGGAGGGGGCAAGCGUUAUCCGGAUUUACUGGGUGUAAAGGGAGCGUAGACGGCAAGGCAAGCCAGAAGUGAAAGGGCAGGGCUCAACCCUGGACAUGCUUUUGAAACUGUGAGCCUAGAGUGCAGGAGAGGUAAGUGGAAUGCCUGGUGUAGCGGUGAAAUGCGUAGAUAUUAGGAGGAACACCAGUGGCGAAGGCGGCUUACUGGACUGUAACUGACGUUGAGGCUCGAAAGCGUGGGGAGCAAACAGGAUUAGAUACCCGGGUAGUC